CACGUAGGGCGCAAGCGUUGUCCGGAAUUAUUGGGCGUAAAGAGCUCGUAGGCGGUCUGUUGCGUCCGCUGUGAAAACUCGGGGCUUAACCCCGAGCCUGCAGUGGAUACGGGCAGACUAGAGGUAGGUAGGGGAGAAUGGAAUUCCCGGUGUAGCGGUGAAAUGCGCAGAUAUCGGGAGGAACACCGGUGGCGAAGGCGGUUCUCUGGGCCUUACCUGACGCUCAGGUGCGAAAGCUAGGGGAGCGAACAGG
rnacentral:rRNA from 1 species